rnacentral:rRNA from 1 species
UACAACUCUGAUCGGUGGAUCA